AGACAAUACAGAGGAGCUCCAUGAAAGACAUGGGUAGUGAGAUGUACACUGUCUCUAAUCACCUUGCUAUCAUGUCUUUCCAUGGAGAACUCUUAUCGAUA
rnacentral:pre_miRNA from 1 species